AGAGAGAGACAUGCGCGCAUAUCAAUAAGCGGAGGAAAAGAAACUAACUAGGAUUCCCUCAGUAACGGCGAGUGAAGCGGGAAGAGCUCAAAUUUGAAAUCUUAAGGGUUUCCCUUGACGAAUUGUAGUUUAAAGAAGUGUUUUCUGUUGGAGUUUUGGUAAAAGUUCUUUGGAAUAGGACAUCAUAGAGGGUGAGAAUCCCGUAUUUGACCAUUUACUUUCAAGCUUUGUGAUACACUUUCAAAGAGUCGGAUUGUUUGGGAAUGCAGUCCAAAAUGGGUGGUAAAUUUCAUCUAAAGCUAAAUACUUGGCGAGAGACCGAUAGCGAACAAGUACCGUGAGGGAAAGAUGUAAAGAACUUUGAAAAGAGAGUUAAACAGUACGUGAAAUUGUCAAAAGGGAAGCGUUUGACACCAGUGUUGUUUUCUCGAAAAUCAAUUAAAAAAGGCAGGAUUUUGUGUUGUAUUGACUUUAUCAGCUUUCUGCACUCUUUUCUUGUCUUUUUUAAUGCACUUUUCGUUUAACAAGUCAACAUCAAUUUCUUUUGUUGUAAAAGGGUCAUUGGAAGGUGGCUUUCUUUUCGGAGAAAGUGUUUAUAGCCUUUGGCCUCUGCAAUCGGAGAGAUUGAGGUCUGCAGCGUAGAUCCUUCGGGGUUAGAUACAUUUGUGCUAAGUUAUAGCCUUUCAUAGACAACUUGUUGACUAUGAUCAGUCAUGUAGCUUACUCGCUUAUGCUAUUUUACCUACGCUUAGGAUGUUGAUGUGAUACUGCGAGCA
rnacentral:rRNA from 1 species